CCUACGGGGGGCAGCAGUGGGGAAUAUUGGGCAAUGGAGGAAACUCUGACCCAGCAACGCCGCGUGAAUGAUGAAGGUCUUCGGAUUGUAAAGUUCUUUUCUAAGGGAAGAAGAAAGUGACGGUACCUUAGGAUUAAGCCUCGGCUAACUACGUGCCAGCAGCCGCGGUAUUCCGUAGGAGGCGAGCGUUAUCCGGAUUGACUGGGCGGAAAGGGGGCGUAGGUGGUUUGGCAAGUUAGUAGCGUAACCCCAAGGCUCAACCUUGGAACUACUACUAAAACUGUUGGACUUGAGUGCAGGAGAGGCAACCGGAAUUCCUAGUGUAGCGGUGGAAUGCGUAGAUAUUAGGAGGAACACCAGUGGCGAAGGCGGGUUGCUAGACUGUAACUGACACUGAGGCACGAAAGCGUGGGGAGCAAACAGGAUUAGAUACCCGAGUAGUC
rnacentral:rRNA from 1 species